GGAUGAAUAUUGGUCAAUGGGCGAGAGCCUGAACCAGCCAAGUCGCGUGAAGGAAGAAGGUUCUAUGGAUUGUAAACUUCUUUUGUAAGGGAAUAAAGUGCAGUACGUGUACUGUUUUGUAUGUACUUUACGAAUAAGGAUCGGCUAACUCCGUGCCAGCAGCCGCGGUAAUACGGAGGAUCCAAGCGUUAUCCGGAUUUAUUGGGUUUAAAGGGUGCGUAGGCGGACUCAUAAGUCAGUGGUGAAAGUUUGCGGCUCAACCGUAAAAUUGCCGUUGAAACUGCGAGUCUUGAGUGUAAAUAAAGUAGGCGGAAUGUGUUGUGUAGCGGUGAAAUGCUUAGAUAUAACACAGAACACCAAUUGCGAAGGCAGCUUACUGGGAUACAACUGACGCUGAGGC
rnacentral:rRNA from 1 species